rnacentral:lncRNA from 1 species
CGAGUCGCCGAAAACACAUAGGUUCGGCCAGAACACUAUUUUUUUAGAUCUGGUUUUAUACGAACAACAUAUGAAUAAACAAACAGAAACGAAGGAGAGGAGAAGAUCCGCUGGAGUUCGUUCUCCUCCGCCUAGACCUUGUUAGAUCUACAAUGCAUCAAUGAGCAAAUGGGGCUGCUGGUUCAUAAAGUUCGGGCGAGAUUCAUCAAUCAUAACAUAAUAGAGAGAGGGGUGAGGGUGAGGUAGCGACAUGAUAGCAGUAGUGUUUGCCGACCAUCACCGGUGAUCAAAUCCAGCAGGCAACGAUGGAGGGAGAUGGGAGGAAGAUGGAGCAAGGUUGGCGGUUGUUCUCUCUUUAGAAUGAGAGAAUGAAAAAGUUCUCUUAGGGUUUUGGAUAUAAAAAUCUGAUGGGUGUCAAGUGUGUGUGUUGUGUAGUGUAUUGUAGGUAAAAACAUAAAAUGUGGGGUGUGGGGUAGAAAACUUAGGGACCAAGAUUUGAAGUGAAAAAAAGGUAAAAAUAUAAUACAUAAUAUAUGAUAAAAAAUGAAAGAAGGUCAAGUCACAUUGAUGUCAUGUCAAAUCAAUGUCUAGUCACAUCCAAUGUCUUGUCACGUCGGAUGUUGACGGGACAUUGAAUUUUACCGAGCUUGAUCCGUAUUUUGAAAUUAAUUCUACUGCCUUUCAUAUAAUUAAUAUAUUGUGCUACGAAUUAAAAAAUAAUUAUUUAAUUAGAAAAUCUUGUAGUAUUUAUUUAAAAUGUAACUACUACGAUGACGUAGUGAUUAUAAAUUGAUAAUCGUGACCCAAAACUCAACCUGUCGUGGUGGCACCUACCCAACCCGCUAGGUAAGCCAAUUAACAACUAUCCAAUUUAAUGAGAUUUAUAGAGACAAGUGAAUGAUAAAAUAAUUGAACCUUUAUACAUUUCCCAAGGAUUGGUAGUACAAAUCAAGAGCUUCUAAGAUUUAGAAUUUACAAAGCUGGUAUAAAAUAAGGUACAUCAUCUAUUUGAAAUAUACAUGAACAAAUUAAAAUUCUAAAGCUACCAAGAUCAAGAGGCAGCUAUGAUUGGAACACAGGUACAUCUUCAAAUACAACUCCCACCAUACACAACGACAUCAACAUCCAACAUAUGCACGCAAGGUGUACAAGUGUAGUAUGAGUACAACCGACCCCAUGUACUCAAUAAGUAACAAACCUAACCUUAGAUUAAAAGUAGUGACGAUCUGGAACAAAGGUCGGAGUCCAACACCAAUAGCCAACAACAGUUCACAACAACAUGAUAAAAGUAAUAAAAGAAGUAACUCAGAGAUAUAAUGCUCAGCUCGUUCACAGUUCCAGAAAUUAGGCAUGAUUUUGAAGUAUAUUAGUGAAAACCCAAAUCUUUUAUCGAAAUCACCAAAAACAUUGAUUAUCAGAUGAGUAAGUUUGUAAAACUGUGAUUUGUCCCAAAAACUUUCAACAACAAUUAAGAAGUCUCAUUAUCAGAUGGCAUUAGGAAAGUACAUCUUUAUGCCUACAUGUCAAUGCACAUUUGAAUGUCAUGAGUGUCACUAUACCGUACAACAUGAGGAAAUACAUCUCUAUGCAUGUAUGUCAUGUAUGCCUGCCAACUGUAAUAAAAUGCGAUGAUAAAGCCAUGUGCAUACCCUCGGAGUAUCAAUGCACUCAGUCCUCCCAAUCACUCAAUCCUCACGGUCAUUCAGCACUCGCACUCGGCACUCGCACUAAGCACUCGCACUCAGUACUGUGCAGGGCAGAUCCAGCACAAAUGCAAAUAGAUCUAGGCUAUCCCAAAUGCAAAUAAAUCCAGGGCAGAUCCAGCACAAGUGCAAACAAAUCUAGAGCAAAUCCAUCCCAAAUGCAAAUAAAUCCAGGGCAGAUCCAGACCAAAUGCAAAUAAAUCCAGGGCAUAUCCAAACCAAGUGCAAACAAAUCCAGGGCAGAUCCAUCCCAAAUGCAAAUGAAUACAGGGCAGAUCCAACCCAAGCACUAUAAUAAGCCAAAUUAUGGCAUAAAUCAAUAAACCUUUUGCGGCGUGCAGCCUGAUCCCAUAAUGUCACUCACAAGUAGUCACUCGACCUCACUCAGUCAUCAAUCUCUCCAGUAUCUCGGGCUCACAAUGUCAUGAAAAUCAACCCCAAAAUGAUGAUGUAAUGUAUCAAUAAAUGGUAACAGAGACUGAGAUAUGAUAUGCAAAUGAAUGCGUAUGACUGAGUAUGUAAUUGCAAUGUAAGCAAAAACUCAAUAACAUAAAUGACCUCAGUUGGUCCCAACAGGAUAAGCAUAUAGCCUAGACAUUAUUUCUAACAUGGAUCACAACUCACUUUAGCACGUAGAGAUUCAUGGAUACAAAUAAGCUUAGGUAAAUACACAGUACUACAGAAAUAAUCGAGUCACAAUUCACACGGUGCACGCCCACAUGCUCGUCACCUAGCAUGUGCGUCACCUCAACACCACCACAUAUCACAUAUAUUCAGGGGUUCAUACCCUCAACACCAAGUUUAGAAGUGUUACUUACCUCGAACAAGCCAAAUCCAAUACCGAGCAAGCCAAACGAUACUCCAAAAAUGCCAUCUCACGCGUACCAACCUCUGGAUGGCUCAAAACUAGCCAAAAGAAACUCAAAUACAUCAAUUAAUGCCAAAGGAAACAAACCCGAUCGUUAAAGGUCAAAUUUUUAAUCAAAAGCCCAAAAUUAAUUAAAAGUCAAAUUCGGGCCCGCACAUCAAAACCCAACAAAACUUACAAUAUCUGACAACCCAUUCGAUUAUGAGUCCAACUAUACUAAUUUCGCUCAAAUCCGACUCCGAAUCGAUGUUCAAGACUCAAAAAUUCACUCUAUGUAACUUUAGACAAAAAACCCUAAUUUCUCUCUUGAAAUCCCCAAUCAAAUGCCAAAAUCGAAGAUAGAUUCUUGAAAUAAAAUCAAAAAUGAGUUAAGAAUGCUUACCCCAAUUCGUGUGGUGAAAUUCCUCUCCAAGUUCGCCUAAACCGAGCUCCAAAAUCCCAAAAAUGUGAAAAGAAAAUGACCAAGUCUCGAAAUAUAGGUCUACCCAGGCUUCAUCGCAUAUACGAUCAUAUCGUCGCAUCUGCGACCCCCGCUUCUGCGGUACAAAUUUUGGCUUCUGUAAAGAAUCUCUGAACCCAGCAGCCAUCGCUUCUGUGAUCUACUUCCCGUUUCUGCGGCCGCGCUUCUGCGCGUAGCGAACUGCAUUUGCGAUCGCACAGAUGUGCCCAUGCACCCGCAUCUGCGACCUUCACGCCCAACUGCCCUUUUCGCUUUUGCAUAGAUAACCCUGUAUCUGCGAAGUCUCUACUGCGACCAAUAUUCCAUAGAUGUGGCUACACCAGAACCAGCAGCCUCAGCCAAUUGCAAAAUGUGGCAAAAUGAUUCGAACCUUGUCCGAAACUCAUCCGGGCCACUCGGGACCCCGUCCGAAUAUACAAACAAGUCCUAUAACAUUAUGCGGACCUACUCGAGGCCUCAAAUCAUACCUAAUAAUAUCGAAAUGACGAAUCACUCCUCAAUUCAAACUUUAAUAAACUUUAAACUUUCAACUUCCAAAACUCUCCCCGAAACAUAUCAAAUCAACCCGGAAUGAACUAAAGUUUUGCACACAAGUCCCAAAUGACAUAACGAAGCUAUUCCAAUUCCCGGAACCACAAUCCAAAUCCGAUAUCAUCAAAUUCAACUCUCAAUCAAGUAGCGCUGAAACCUUCUAGAAAUAGCCAAAUGCGAAUCCGGCAUACGACUGAGACCAAAAUCACCAUCCGGACCUAACGGAACCAUCAAAACUCCGAACCGAGGUCAAAUACUAAAAAGUGAAACUUGGUCAACUAUUCCAAUUUUAAAGCUUCAAUCAUGAAAUUCAUUCUUCUAAAUCAAUUUCGAAUAACCUGAAAACCAAAACCGACGAUUCAUACAUGUCAUAAUACAUAAUACAAUGCUGCUCAAGACAUCAAAUAGCUUAAUGGAAUGCAUAUGCUCAAAACAACUGGUUGGGUUGUUACACUAAUAUUUGGAAAAUAGGACAAUUAUCAAUAAAUUGUUUGAAAUUUAGAAAAAAUGCACAAAAGGGUAGUAUUUAACUAAUUGUAAUAAAAUGAUAAAAAUUUCUAUAUUUUGUUAAAAUAAGAAUAAUCAUCAAUAAAUGGCAUAAGAGCUAAAUAAUGUACAAAAUACUAUAUUUCAUCAUUUUUUGAUUAGGAAGCCUAUAGAAGUUAAUUUUUAAAUACGAAGAGCCAAAAUUAAAUGUCCGCAGCAGACCCUCUUUGACGGGAGAUGAUACAAGAGUCUCCGGGAAAAGAAAUUGACACCAUACUCAAUUUUGAACUCAACAUGACAGAGUGGGAAUGAGGCGAUUCAGAAGAUUGUGAACAAACUCUGGUUUUUGAGUUUCCUACGUAUAUCAGGUUGCACGAGAAUCAGGUCGAGUGUAGCUCUGGAAUGCAACUGAGUUCUACUUAUGAAUAUUAGCCACAUGGUAUGGAAUACAAAAUGUUCGAGGAUGAGAAGGUUCGUGUGAUAUCGACAUAUCUUCAGUGUCAGACUGUGGUGACACUAGGACAUUGAUGUUGGAUGAUGGAUGAAUUUACUGAUGGAUUUUGAUGUGGGUACGACUGGGCUCUAUGUUGAGUUUUCUUACAUAUCCCGUAUGUAACGAGAAUAAGGUCGGUUGUAGUUCGAGAAGGCGAUGGGAUGAUUUUUGAUUUUUGAUUUUAAAAGUUCCCCAGCAUCAAGCUGUGAUGACAAUGGGUUUAUUAGGACUAUUAGGGUUCGAAUUACCUACACACCUCAUGUCAAUGGGACGUAACAAUGAUAAUUGAGGACAUGUCACUGAUUGUUGUUGGAAAGCUCGACGUCCGUCCUCAAAAUCUGCCCUAGUUUAUUUGAUAGAAAAUAAUUCCACGUUGUUUCGCCUCUUUGAUCAGUAGAGUUGACGAAGUGUGGACUAUGCUUAUGUCUGAUUUGACAAAGAUGAUUAUGUGAUUUUUUUAAUGCAAUAGGGUCCCAGGUUGGAACUCUAAUUCGAAAGAGAUCCGGGCUAGAUACCGUUCCGAAGCGAUAUCAGAGCAUUUAGGACUUUUUUAAGAAAUCUGGGAUGUUUACCGGUCCAAAGUGAUCAGAGCACUUGGAUUAUUAAUAUUCAAGAUAUGUACCGGUCCAAAAUGAUCGGAGCACUUGAAUGUAAAAAGGAAAUUCGCGUUGUGUACCGAUCCGAAGCGAUAUCAGAGUAUUUUAAUGUAAAAGGAAAAUUUGGGUUGUGUACCGAUCCGAAGCAAUAUCGGAGCACUUAAAUGUAAAACUGACUUGUAGUUAUGGUUUCGAUGCAAUAUCGGAGCAUUUAAAUCUAAAAUACCCGUAUUGGAAGGUGGGUGCCUGUAAAAUUGAACUUGAAAUGAAAUGCUCAUUGUUCAGGAGGGCGCCUGGAAAAGUAAGAAGCUAUUUUUUUAUUUUUUAUGUAAGAAAAUUGAUGAAGAGGGUUCUAUUAUUGUGCAAAAUGAUAGAAUUUUUAAAUGAUAUCGUGGGGUCUGACUUAGACUGCCUACAUAUCCGAAUGGAAUCAAGUCAAAACAUAGUUCGAUUGUAAAAGAUGAUUGAAUCCGAAUAUAUAAAAAUGAUUUUUGAUUUUCUAUUAGAAGAGUGAGACCGGACCUUAUGUUGGUUGUCUUUGUAUCCCCCCGGGGGAAGCAGGUCGGGCGUAGUUAUGUUAGAGCAAAACCUAACUCUAUUGUCAACAAAAACUUUACUCUUUUUGUUUUAUGUAUUUUCUACUAUUUUGUAGCUUUCUAUAGAGAAUAUUGUAAAUAAAGAUUGCGAUUUAUUUAUCAAUCAUUAUUUUUUACUUGAGUUUUGUUGGUACCAACAAUUAGUUUUGUGCAUAAGAAUUUUUACCAUAUACUUUGCAGCAAAUCGAGAUCAGCUUAUGGGUAAUUCCUAUAACUUCGAGUGGUACCUCAUGUAUACCUAAGUUUGACAAGAUUUGUUCAUCUUGCUUCAAUCAAAGGUUUUGAAUUUAGCCUAAACUCAUAUUUCAAGUGCCUCAUUACAAAUAAAGUCUUAAUUUGCACAUAUAAUUGAAGUAUUUUUUGGAUUUUGACUUUUAGGACAUUUUGAGAAGUACACUCACACUCAGAAAGAUGUUCAAUGCAUGCAAUUGAGAUACCAUAUGCUUGACCUUUAUGUGAGUAUCCACUAAUUGAGAACACUUGGGAUAGGAUCAUGGAAGGCUUUGUUAUUGGCUCAUAAUGUAGGCUUGGGGACGGGUAGGAUAAUUAUUUUGGAUAAAGAGUGACUAAUCCCUCUUUGUGCAUUGCACUGUGUCUGUGUCUUCAAAGUUCAAACCAUGAUUCGGCGCUUGAUCUUGUUUAGCUCGAUGUCCCUUUAUUUUAUUUGACUUCUUUCCAGAAGUUUUCUCUUUUCAUUGGAGUUCCUCCUCUUUGAAUUUGUGGAGUUUUUCUCCUCCUUUAUUUUUAUUUUCCUUUGAAUUUGCGAAUGUUUUCUCCUCCUUGUUGGAUCCUCCUUUUGAACUUGUGGAGUUUUCUUUUUAUUUCUUUUUCUGAAUUUAUGUUUAUGGUUGUCCUAGACUUCGCAUGUUCGCUUUUACAUGCUUGUCCCUUUGCUUUGGUCUUCGUCCAAAAUUACAUGUUUUCGGUUCACUCGAGGAGGUCGGGUCAAGAGAGGGGUAGUGCAUUUAGCAUAAGAAAGGGUAUUGGAUAAGAUGUGAUUGUGCAAGAAAAAAGCUUAAGGCUCAAAGGGUCAAGUGCUAGGGAUAGAUGUCGUUUGUUAGGCUUGAAAGGCUCAAUCGGGUCAAAGAAUGCCUACAAUCCUUUCCUAAACCAAGUGUUACUCAGGAUUUCGCCUCGACAAAUAUUCGGGCCAAGUUCUAGAUCUACAAUGCAGUGCAAUGAAUUUUAAUCUAGGCUCACCACGCAAUGCACAUGAAACGAUGAGGUCGAAUUUAUUCUUACCCUAACUGCAAGCACGAGAUAUUUCAAGCAUCACUAAGGCAUAAUUGAGAGGUACCAUAAGAGUCUAUGGUUUACCCAACGUUGUUCCUUUCCAUCAUACCAAUUAACAUUUGUUCUUUAUCAUGCACACUCCUAAUUAUAUUUGUACCAACCAAGUCAAUAUUUGUUGAUGUGUUUUUGAUUUUAUAUAUAUAUAUAUAUAUAUAUAUAUAUAUAUAUGAUUUUGACAAUAUAUUUUUUUUUAAAAUUUUGGACUUAAUCAUCAUUUUUUGUUUUUUUGAAAAAUGAGACUGAACCCGAAGGUUGCCUACGUAUCUCGUUGAAAUGAGAAUCAGGUCAAGCGUAGUUUAGUAAGAAUAGAAAGAAAAUAUUUUUCGAUUUUCAUUUCAUUUUUGUUUUUUUGAAUUAAUCAAAAGCAAUUUUGGUUUUUGAUAAAGAGAAUUGAAUAUAAAAUGGGUUUUGUAGUUACCGUUCCAAAGCGAUAUCAGAGCAUUGACAGGAAAUAAAAUAUCAUGACCCAAAUCUCAACAUGUCUUGAUAGCGCCUAUCACAGUACUAGACAAGCCGACAAUCACAAAUUAACUACGCAUUUUAAAUUAAAAAUAUGGUGUAAUAAGUUUAACAUUGAUAUAUCUCAUAAAUAAUUGAUAAGAAAAACUACGACUCAACUACAAAAUCCCCCAAAAUUCGGGUGUCACCGAAUACAUGAGCUUCUAAGUGUCAACACAUUCAAAACUUCAAAUAUAACUAUUUGAAAAGAUAGAACAACGCUAAAUAAACUGAAAAAACGGAGAGUCGAGGUAUGCAGAUACCAUAGCAGCUACCUCAAUAAUCUCCAAGCAGAUUCUGCUCCAAGUCUAGCAACAGCCUGGUCCAGAUGUACCUGGAUCUGCACACAAAGUGAAGAGUAUAGUAUGAGUACAACCAACCCAAUGUACUCAAUGAGUAACAGGACUAACCUUGGGCUAAAUGCACUGACGAGCUCAGGAAGGUACAGUCAAAAUUCAGAUAAUAACAAUAUAGAUAUAACACAGAAAUGAUAGUAAUAACUCAAAGAAAUUCUAUAAUCAAUUCGUACACAGUACAGAAAUGUAGACAUGCUUUUAAGUUUAAUAGUUUAAGCUCAACAGUGAUAAAAUAUUCUAAGUAUAACUGAUAUGAGGAAUGUUACAUCUCUAUGUCUACAUGUCAAAUGUACAUGUCACAUGUAAUGCAUCACAGUGAUAAAUACAUGUACUCACACUCUUAGAGUACUCAAUCUCACUGUCUCCCACUCUUACUCAUCACUCUCAAUCACUCAGCAUUGUACGGUACCUGCGCUCACUGCUGGUAUGUCAGACUCCGGAAGGUCGGAUCCUGCCCUAGCACUAAUAUAAGCCAAAAUAGCCUGCUAUGGCAUACAUCCCGAUCCCAUAAUGAAUUAAUAAAACUUGUUGCAACAUACAGCACGAUCCCAUAAUGAAUCAAUAAAACAUGUUGUGGUGUGCAGCCUGAUCCCAUAUUGAAUCAAUAAAACAUAUUGUGGCGUGCAACCCGAUCCCAUAAAUAUCAUCACUAUCUGGCCCUCAUUCCCCAACUCAGUCAUCAAACUCUCUAGUCUCUCGGUGUAACGACCCGACCGGUCGUUUGGAGAAUUUACACUUUGCUCGGUAGUUUGAGGGUAUGAGUAGAUCCAUAUGAUGUAUUAUGACUUAUAUGAAUUAUCGGUUUUGAUUUUCAGGUUAUUNNNNNNNNNNNNNNNNNNNNNNNNGAUGGUGAUUUUGGAGUUGGGUGUAUGCCCGGAUUUGCAUUUGUAUGUUUCUUGAAGGUUCUAGCGUUAAUUAGCAAAAGUUGGCAAUUUGGAGUUUUGGAAUAUUCAUAAGUUUGACCAGAAGUUGACUUUGGUGGUAUCGGAUUCAAAUUCUGGUUCCAGGAGUUGGAAUAGCUUCGUUAUGUCAUUUGAAACUUGUGUACAAAAUUUGAGGUCAUUCUGAGUUGAUUUGAUAUGGUUCAGCACGAGUUUUGGAAGUUGAAAGUUCAAAAGUUUAUUAAGUUUGAUUAGAGGUACGAUUAGUAGUUUUUAUGUUGUUUGAUGUGAUUUGAAGCUUCUAAUGAGUUCGUUUCAUGUUUUAAGACUUCUUGGUGUGAUUGAAUGGGGUCCCGAUGGGCUCGAGUGUAUUUUGGAUCAUUGGUUGAGAAACUAGUUAAGGAUUUGGAGUUUGACCAUGGUCAAUAUCGGGUCAAGAUGACGUAUUUUCGGUGUUUUGAGUGUGCGAGAAUGUUCGUAGCAUGUUUUAUGAUCGAAACACAUAUAUGGUUUGUGUUCGAGAGGUUCCGAAUGAGUUUUGGGUGCUAAAAUAAAAAUAAAUUUGUUGCUGAUUUUCUCGUGUAAAAUAAUUACGAAAAUGUCAAUGUUUAUCCCUUAAAUUUUCACACUUCAUUUAAAACUUCAAAACAUCAUAUCUCCCUAAUUUUAAGGCCAAAUUGGGUGAUUCAAAAGCCUAUCUUGACUAAAAUUGUACAAGGAAUCCAUUGGAGGUUUUCAAGAUCGUUUGACACACAAAACGAGGCAGAACAUCUGGACAAAAAAUAUUUAAUAUCAAGGGUUUGUUCAUUUGGUCUUAUUUUGAGUUGGGGUAGCUUGAAUUUGGGCAAUCAUUGAGGUGAUUUUCACCAUAUGAACCAGGGUAAGUGUUCUCUACUCGAUUUUGAUUAUAUUACGUGAUUCUAUCUUUGUUUUUGGUAAUUGGAUUAUGAAUUAUAAAGAGAAAAUUGAGGAGUUUAGCCUAAAGUUUCAUAAAGUGAGUUUUUUAGUUUUGAACAUCGAUUCGGAGGUCGGUACGCACGGGAUGGAAUUUUGGAGCAUCGUUCGGCUUGCUUGGUAUUGGAUUUGGCUUGUUCGAGAUAAGUAACACUUUUAAACUUGGAGCUGAGGUAUGAACCCUGAUUAUACGUGUUAUGUGUUUGGUGUCGAGGUGACGCACAUGCUAGGUGAAGGGCGUGUGGGCGGACACUGUGUGAAUUGUGACUCGGUUAUUUCUGUGGUACUCUGUAGUUACUUAAUCUUAUUUGUAUCUAUGAAAUCUCUACGUGCUAGAGUAAUUGAGUUGUGAUCCAUGUUAGAAACCAUGUCUAGGCUAUAUGCUUAUCCUAUUGGGAUCCAUUGAGGUCAUUUUUGUUGUUGAGUUAUUUGCUUACAUUGCAAUUACAUACUCAGUCGUACGGAUUCAUUUGCAUAUCAUAUCUCAGUUUUUGUUACCAUUUAUUGAUACAUCACAAUAUCAUGUUGGGCUGAUUUUCAUGACAGUGUGAUCCUGAGAGACUAGAGAUAUGGAUGACCGGGUGAGGAAGAGGGCCUGAUGGUGAGGAUUUCUUAUGGGAUCGGGCUGCACGCCGCAACAUAUUUUAUUGAUUUAUGUCAUGAUUGGCUUGUUAUAGCACUUGGGCUUAAGGAGCCCCAUCGGAGUAUGUACAUACCCCCAGUGAGCACAGGUACUUACUGAGUGUGAGUGCCGAGCGAUUGGGAGGAUUGCAUUACUGUGAGGAGUAAGUGACUUGGAGGACUGAGUGACUGAUACUCUGAGAGUAAGGCUGUUCAACGGGACGGGCCGUCCUAUCCCGUCCCGUCCCGUCCCACUUAAUUCUAAAUAGGAUGGGGCCAUGUUAAACGGGACACGGGAUGGGACGGGAUGGUCAUUUUGUCCCAUUUGUCCCGUCCUAUUUCGUCCCGUUUCGUCCCGUCCAGUCCCGUCCCGUCCCGCCUGUCCCGUCUCAUCCCGUCCCAUCUCGUCCCGUCCCGCCUGUCCCGCAUCCUUUUUUAUUUGUGCAUUAUAUACAAGAAACUUGUAAUCCUGCUUUUCAAGGUUUUUCUAAGACCACGGUUAGAAAUGGUGUUUUUUAAUUUCAAACCGAAUAUUUUCAGUAUAUUCAUUGUGUAUUGUUUCACUUAGAUUGUAAAGUGUCUAUCACAACUGAUAUAGGUCGUAGUCCUAAUGGUUGUAAUUAUUUAACUGUUACAUGUCAUUGGGUUGAUCAUCACUAGAACAUGCAAAAAUGUAUUAUUGGUUAUAAAUUUGUUGAUUCAAAACACAGUGGAGCAUAUAUUGCAACUACUGUUCUACAAAUUAUUGAUUUUUAUGGACUCAUUGAUAAAGUUUUAACUAUCACCUUAGAUAAUGCUUCUGCUAAGUGCUAACACAACUGCAGCAACUAGCUUAAUGAAAUGAUUGCAAAAUUAAUCCAACUUAUGCACCGGCCACUAAUGAAAUGAUUGCAAAAUUAAUUCAAUUUAUGCACCGGCCAUUAAUGAAAUGAUUGUAAAAUUUUAAAAGUAUUUUUUUCCUAUUCCCCAACUUUAUUUAAUUUCUACUAUACUUAACCCAUCUUUAAAAUUAAGAGGUGCAAAUGGACUUGUUCGUAAAAUUUAUGAGAAUUUAGCAAUUCAAGAAAAUGAACAACCAUCUCUUAAAGACUGCCAAGCUAACAUAUUUUCUUAUGUUAGAUCAAUGUUUGAUNNNNNNNNNNNNNNNNNNNNNNNNNNNNNNNNNNNNNNNNNNNNNNNNNNNNNNNNNNNNNNNNNNNNNNNNNNNNNNNNNNNNNNNNNNNNNNNNNNNNNNNNNNNNNNNNNNNNNNNNNNNNNNNNNNNNNNNNNNNNNNNNNNNNNNNNNNNNNNNNNNNNNNNNNNNNNNNNNNNNNNNNNNNNNNNNNNNNNNNNNNNNNNNNNNNNNNNNNNNNNNNNNNNNNNNNNNNNNNNNNNNNNNNNNNNNNNNNNNNNNNNNNNNNNNNNNNNNNNNNNNNNNNNNNNNNNNNNNNNNNNNNNNNNNNNNNNNNNNNNNNNNNNNNNNNNNNNNNNNNNNNNNNNNNNNNNNNNNNNNNNNNNNNNNNNNNNNNNNNNNNNNNNNNNNNNNNNNNNNNNNNNNNNNNNNNNNNNNNNNNNNNNNNNNNNNNNNNNNNNNNNNNNNNNNNNNNNNNNNNNNNNNNNNNNNNNNNNNNNNNNNNNNNNNNNNNNNNNNNNNNNNNNNNNNNNNNNNNNNNNNNNNNNNNNNNNNNNNNNNNNNNNNNNNNNNNNNNNNNNNNNNNNNNNNNNNNNNNNNNNNNNNNNNNNNNNNNNNNNNNNNNNNNNNNNNNNNNNNNNNNNNNNNNNNNNNNNNNNNNNNNNNNNNNNNNNNNNNNNNNNNNNNNNNNNNNNNNNNNNNNNNNNNNNNNNNNNNNNNNNNNNNNNNNNNNNNNNNNNNNNNNNNNNNNNNNNNNNNNCCCGCGAACCCAUCCCGUCUCGUCCCGUUUGUUAGCGAGACAGGAUGGGCCUACCGUCCGUCCCGUCCCGUCUUGUCCCGUUUGUUAGUGGGACAAGAUGGGCCUACCAUUUCGUCCCGUCCCGCCACCGUCCCGGCUAAAUGUUAUCCCGUCCCGCCACCGUCCCGGCUAAAUGUUAUCCCGUCCCGUCCCGUCCAGUUGGACAGCCAUAUCUGAGAGUAUGCAUAUAGUUUUAUCACUAAGUUGCAUUGCAUUCGACAUGCACACUUGACAUGCAGGCAUAUAGAUGCAUUUUCCUCAUGUUGUACGACAUCGCGUCAUUCAUGACUUCACAUACACAUUGACAUGUAGGCAUAUAGAUGUGCUCUCCUUACGCUAUUUGAAAAUGAAACAUUUACCCGUUGAAAGUUUUGGGAAAAAUCACAGUUUUACAAACAUACUCAUAUUUUGGUGAUUUCGAUAAAAGAUAUGGGUUUUCAUUGAUAUACUUGAUAAAUAUGCCUAUUUUUUUGUAACUGUGAACCAGCUGAAUUAUUUAUUGUACCAUCUUUAUCAUAUUUCUAUGAAUUGUUGCUGGUUAUUGGAGUUGGACCCUAACCAUUGUCCCAGCUCGUCACUACUUUCAACCUAAGGUUAGGUUUGUUACUUAUUGAGUACAUGGGGUCAGUUGUACUAAUACUACACUUCUGUACCUUGCGUGUAAAUGUUGGAUGUUUAUGUUGUUAUGAUCGACGGGAGAUGGAUUUGAAGACGUACCGCAUUCCGGUGGUAGCUUCCUCUUGUUCAUGGUAGCCUUCGAUUUAUAAAAAUCUGUUUAUGUACAUUUCAAACAUAUGUGUAUUUAUUUAUUUCAUGCCAGCUUUGUAAAUUCUAAUCUUAGAAGCUCAUGAUUUGUACUACAGUCCUAGAGAAACAUAUAAGAUUCAGAUAUUUUCUUUUAUUUAUUUGUCUCAUUAAAUUUCAUUGGAAUUGGUUUAUUGUCAAUUGGCUUACCUAGCAGGUUGGGUUAAGUGCCAUCACGACCAGUUGGAUUUUGGGUAGUGACAAGUUGGUAUCAGAACUCUAGGUUCAUAGGUUCUACAAGUCAUGAGCAAGUGUCUAGUAAAGUCUUGCGGAUCAGUAUGAUGACGUCCAUACCUAUCUUCGAGAGGCUACAGGGCAUAUAGGAUAAACUUCCCAUCUUUCUUUCCUUAUCGUGCGGUAUUGAUUCAGUUUGAAGCGUGACUCUUUGAAUUCCUUCCAUGCAUUCUUAUGCGCACAUGAGAGCUCGGUAUCAACUGUGCAUCGAUAGCUUGUGAUUCCUUGGAUGGGGUGCGAGAUGUGAUUUUUGUGUGCUGAUAAUAGGCCAGUCCGGAGGACUUGAGGAUGGGUUUUGACUGUAGCUCGAGCACGGAGAUUUCGGUUGUGUGAACACGUGCUUUUGGACUUAUAAGUCAGGUAGUGUCCCUUUUAGUAGAAUUUGUGGCUCGAUGAGUGAUUGGAUGGCUAUAUGAUGAGUAUGAUGUGACUAUGGGAUGUGUUCGAAUGGUUCGAAGGUGUCGAGAAUAGUUUGCUUGAGAUGUAAAAAGGACUAUGGGUGCUAGAUUACUAUCUUGAUGUGACACAUAGUCUCAAGUUAUGAGUGUGUUGAAAUAUUUUUUUCAUGUUGAUUAAUUGUGGAACAAAGUAGAUUUUCAUGUCUUGUUGAUGAGUUCGGACUCGGGAAGAUUAAGUGAUUGCGUAGUAGUUAUGGCUGUGAAAGGGUAUAAAUAGAUGUCAGUUUGAGGCUAAGCAGGUAUGUUAUAACCUGCGAGGUAAUCUACGGAUGUGUGAUUUUUAUGAUGCUGUGUGGAGGCUUUCCUUUCUACCAGUGGGUUAUAUUUGUGCUAUUUAAGUUUAGAUCGGUUAUAAUAGUUGACAUGACUGUCAUGUGGAUGUAUGUGAACUUAGCAGAUGAUUUAAGGUAUUAUAUGGUUUGUGUUACAUGAGCUUAUGAAGGAUUUAGUUGAAUUUCAGUGUGGGAUUAUGGCAGUAAUAGAGUAUGGGUAUUGUGAGUUAUCGACUAUUUUGUACUAUGGCUUUGAACCAAGUGGGGGAGUCUUUUAUCGGAGAUUUGAUUGCAUGGCUAUGUGUUGUACUGGAUUCAGUUUGAGGCAUACAUGUGAAUCAGUUAUGACUUGCAAAGGUUGAGAUCGAGGAUGACUCGAGUAAGGGAAUUUCUGGAUACGUGGUAUAUUACACUUUAUGGGUAUAUGAAAAUCAUGGAAUGAUUUGAGUUGUUAUUUGUGACGGAUGUAGUGCGCAUGGAGUAGGAAUUUUCUUUGUUGCAUUAAGGUGGGGUUACUUCUUUGGGUGUCUUCAUGUUAAUCGAGUAUGUGUUCUGCUGGUGACUCAGAUAUUGAUUAUGAGAUUCUCGUACUUUUCAUAUAAUGGUAUGAUAGAUGCGGUGUGUUGUGUAGGAUUGAGAUUUGCAUGUGCAAGGUCAUGGUUCUGUUUUGAAAGGAAGGUCAUGCAUUCUCAGACAACAUGGACGGUUUCAUAUGCCUAGAUGAAUGCUAUUACUACUUGGUAUUGCCCGAGGAGAGUGUGUAUUCAGAAGUCGCAUUGAGUUUUGACUUACAGAUUAUUCAUGGGUAUUGUGGUACUCGCUUGGCUGAUCAGCUGCUGAUGUUCAAAUUUUGCUAUGUGGCAUGAAAGAAUUAUAGAAGUAUUUCUAGGGGGUGAUUAUGUAUGAGAGAUGUUUUAGUCAUUCGAGCGGUGGAGUUGGGAUCAGAUAUGGUGAUUCAUGUGCUCUAUGGAUUUUGAGACUGGGAGUUCUCAGAAGCAGAUUGUUUCGUGGUUGUGUGCUGUGAAGAUGUGGCCAAAGUUAGCCGGAUCAUAGAAUGUGUUAUGGUUAGAUCACUGUUGACUUCCAUAGGGAUUAUUUAUCAAUUUUUGGAUGACCAAAGUUGAUUCGGGGUCCAUUGGUAGGCCUAAUGAGGAUGUGUAUCCUAUAUCGAGUCAGAUUUAUUGACUCUGCACGGUUAGUGUUGAGGGGUGAGUCAGUCGAUUAGAGUUGAGCUUGUUCGUGUUCUGAUAUGUUCUAUGAGUUACUCUUCUAUUCUACGAGGGGUUGUGAUCUGUUGGUUAUAUGCACACACAAUGUGGUUCUAUUUGGGCCUUAUAGAAAAAUUUGAACGAGAUGGGUAUUAGGGUGUUGAACGACUGAUUGGUGAUAUUCUUUCCGGUCUGUGGUAUUGUAUUAUUAUUUCCUCCGUGGUUAUGGUCAUGCACCUUGGGUACUGGAUGUCGAAUUGCGAGUGGUCGUUGAUUUUGAGCAUUUUUGGCUAGAGGUAUUUCAUAUGGACCAGUGUUUGGAUGGGAUCACGCAUUGCAACUGGAGUAUGUCGGGAUAUGAUCCUUUGAGAUUGAUUCGUGUGUUUUGGUUCUACGGUGUGUGAUGGGUUCUUAGCAUUGCGUUGUGAUGGUACUUGUUGUGCUUGCGGGAUGGUUCUCUCAUUUGAGUCAUUUUCUAUAUUUGAGUACACUUGAAUUGUUGCGUAUUGGUGCACAGAUUGCACGGUUUGUGGCUUAAGUUAUAUUGGUGUCGCAUGUUCGUAGGGCAGAUGUAUUUGAUAAGAUGAGGUCAUCGGACCUAGAAUGGGUGCUAUCAAAUUUGAUUACAGUGUCGUUGGAGGAUUAAUAUUGGGAGUAGGCUUAGGAUUUGGUUUUGGUUCUGAUUGGACAAGAGAGGGCUCCAUGACUUGUUGUUCUGAUGAAUGGUUAUUAGUUUCUGCGUGUUUCUUUCAUCACUGGCAGUGUACGAAGGUUUUAAAAUGAGGUUUUGUUUGAUAUGAGGUUCAUUACCGGUAUUUUGUGUGUUUUGAGAAGCUUUUGUGGUCAAAAGUUAUUGUUGUAAGCAUCUGAGUUAUGUGGUACAUCAUGUGAUUACAUCUUGGGUUAUGGUUAUGGCUCGAUACAGCUUGUUCAGACUUAUAUAGUGUGUAGGUGCGAGAUUUGGCUAUUGUAAGGAAUUCUGGAUGUGGAAAUUGGAUUCUAAGGUUUACGGGAUAUGGUUGAAGGAAUGAUCUUCAGUUGUGUUGUGUUGUGUUGUCAUGCCUAUAUGGAAUAGAGCCCACGGAUAUGCGCAUGGUAAGGUUACACGAUGCUUUGAUGGCUUUGGAGCGACUCUCGGCACGUUCGAGGACGAACGUGUGUUUAAGUGGGGGAGGAUGUAACGACCCGACUGGUCAUUUCGAGCAUUUGCACUUCGCUCGGUAGUUUGAGGGCAUGGGUAGCUCCGUAUGAUGUACUAUGACUUAUGUGAAUCGUCGAUUUUGGUUUUCAGGUUAUUCGGAUUCGAUUUGGGAGAAUGAACUUCAUGAGUAAAGCUUUAAGUUGGAAGAGUUGACCAAGUUUGACUUUUGUGUAUUGGACCCCGGAUUGGAGUUUUAAUGGUUUCUUUAGGUUUGGAUGGUGAUUUUGGACUUGGGCGUAUGCCCGGAUUUGUAUUUGGAUGUUUCUUGAAGGUUCUAGCGUUAAUUGGUGAAAGUUGGCAAUUUGGAGUUUGGGAAUAUUCAUAAGUUUGACCGGAAAUUGACUUUGGUGAUAUCGGGUUUGAAUUUUGGUUCCGAGAGUUGGAAUAGCUUCUUUAUGUCAUUUGAAACUUGUGUGCAAAAUUUGAGGUCAUUCCGAGUUGAUUUGAUAUGGUUCGGCACGAGUUUUGGAAGUUGAAAGUUCAAAAGUUUAUUAAGUUUGAUUUGAGGUAAGAUUCAUAGUUUUUAUGUUGUUUGAUGUGAUUUGAAGCUUUGAAUAAGUUUGUAUCGUAUUUUAAAACUUGUUGGUAUGAUUGAAUAGGGUUCCGAGGGGCUCGGGUGUGUUUUGGAUCAUUGGUUGAGAAACUAGUUAAGUUAAGAAUUUGGAGUUUGACCAUGGUCAAUAUCGGGUCAAGAUGACCUCUUUUUAGUGUUUUGAGUACGCGAGCAUGUUCGUAGCGUGUUUUAUGAUUGAAACGCAUAUAUAUUUUGUGUCCGAGAGGUUCCGAAUGAGUUUUGGGUGCUAAAACGAAAAUUCUUUCGUUGCUGAUUUUCUGGUGCAAAAUAAUUACGAAAAUGUCAUCUUUUAUCCCUUAAAUUUCUAGACUUCAUUUAAAACUUCAAAACAUCAUAUCUUCCUCAUUUUAAGGCCAAAUUGGGUGAUUCAAAAGCCUAACUUGACUAAAGUUUCACAAGGAAUCUAUUGGAGGCAUCAACAAAUAUUUAAUAUUAAGGGUUUGUUCAUUUGGUCAUAUUUUGAAUUGGGGAGCUCGGAUUUGGGCAAUCUUUGAGGCGAUUUUCACCAUAUGAAUUGGGGUAAGUGUUCUCUACUCGGUUUUAAUUAUAUUUCAUGAUUCUAUCUUCAUUUUUGGUAAUUGGAUUAUGAAUUAUAAAGAGAAAAUUGGGGAUUUUAGCCUAAAGUUUCAUAGAGUGAGUUUUUGAGUUUUGAACAUCGAUUCAGAGCCGGAUUUGAGUGAAACUAGUAUGGUUGGACCCAUAAUUUAAUGGGUUGUUGGAUUUUGUAAGUUUCAUCGGGUUCCGAGGUACGAGCCCGUAUUUGACAUUUUGGUCGAUUUCGGAAUUUUGAUUAAAGAUUCGACUGUUAUCGAUUUUGUUUGUUCCCUUUGGCAUUAUUUGAUGUAUUUGAGUUACUUUUGGCUAGUUUCGAGCCGUUACGUUGUCGGUAUGUGUGGGAUGGAAUUUUGGAGCAUCGUUUGGCUUGCUCGGUAUUGGAUUUGGCUUGUUCGAGGUAAGUAACACUUCUAAACUUUGAGCUGAGGGUAUGAACCCUGAUUAUAGGUGACGAGCGUGUGGGCGUGCACUGUGUGAAUUAUGACUCGGUUAUUUCUGUGGUACUUUGUAGUUACCUAAUCUUAUUUGUAUCUAUAAAAUAUCUACGUGCUACAGUAAUUGAGUUAUGAUCCAUGUUAGAAAUCAUGUCUAGGCUAUAUGCUUAUCUUGUUGGGACCCAUUGAGGUCAUUUAUGAUGUUGAGUUAUUUGCUUACAUUGCAAUUACAUACUCAGUCAUACGCAUUCAUUUGCAUAUCAUAUCUCAGUAUUUGUUACCAUUUAUUGAUACAUCAUAUCAUCAUGUUGGGCUGAUUCUCAUGACAUUGUGAGCCCGAGAGUGGAGAGAAUGAUUACUGAGUGAGGCCGAGGGCCUGAUGGUGAGGAUUUAUGAUGGGAUCAGGCUGCACGCCGCAUCAUGUUUUAUUGAUUUAUUCCAUGAUUGGCUUGUUAUAGAGUUUGGGCUAAAGGAGUACCUCCGGAGUCUGUACACACCCCCAGUGAGCGUAGGUACUUACUGAGUACGAGUAUCGAGCGAUUGGGAGGAUUGAGUUACUGUGAGGACUGAGUGACUGUGAGGACUGAGUGAUUGGGAGGACUAAGUGAAUGGGAGGAAUGAGUGACUGAUACUCUGAGAGUAUGAAUAUGGUUUUAUCACUAAGUUGCAUUGCAUUCGAGUUGCACACUUGACAUACAGGUAUAGAGAUGCAUUGCAAUCGAGUUUUAUCACUUAGUUGCAUUCCUCAUGUUGUACGACAUUGCGUCAUCCAUGACUUCACAUACACAUUGACAUGUAGGCAUAGAGAUGUACUUUCCUUAUGCUAUUUGAAAAUGAAACAUUUACCCGUUGAAAGUUUUGAGAAAAAUUACAGUUUUACAAACGUACUCAUAUUUUGGUGAUUUUGGUAAAAGAUUUGGGUUUUCACUAAUAUACUUGAAAAACAUGCCUAUUUUUUCAUAAUGGUUAACCAGCUAAAUUAUUUAUUGUACCAUCUUUAUCAUAUUGCUAUGGAAUGUUGUUGGUUAUUGGAGUUGGACCCUGACCCUUGUCCCAGCUCUUCACUACUUUUAACCUAAGGUUAGGUUUGUUACUUAUUGAGUACAUGGGGUCAGUUGUACUCAUACUACACUUCUGCACCUUGCGUGCAGAUGUUGGAUGAUGAUGUUGAUGUGAUCGACGGGAGCUGGAUUUUAAGACAUACCGCGUUCCGGUGGUAGCUGCCUCUUGUUCAUGGUAGCCUUAGAUUUAUAAAAAUCUGUUUAUGUACAUUUCGAGCAGAUGAUGUAUUUAUUUAUUUCAUGCCAGCUUUGUAAAUUCUAAUCUUAAAAGCUUAUGAUUUAUACUACCAGUCCUUGGGAAAUGUAUAAGAUUCAGAUAUUUUCUAUUAUUUAUUUGUCUCGUUAAAUUUUAUUGGAAAUUGUUUAUAGUCAAUUGGCUUACCUAGCGGGUUGAGUUAGGUGCCAUCGCGACUAGUUAGAUUUUGGGUUGUGACAAUCGGGCUCACAAAUCUCAUGACAAUCAGCCCAAAUAAUGAUAACAUGAUGUAAUAAUAAAUGAUAACAGAGACUAAGAUAUGAUAUUAAAAUGAUGAAUGUGACUGAGUACAUAAUUUAAAUCUAAGCAAAUAACUCAACAACAGAAAUGCCUAAGUGGGUCCCAGUAGAAUAAGCAUAUAGCCUAAGUAUAAUUUCUAGUAUGGAUCACAGCUUAAUUACUCUAACAAGUGGAGAUUACAUGAAUAGCAACAAGAUUUGAUAACUACAUAGUACCACGGAAUCGACCGAGUCACAAUUACCACGGUGCAUGCCCACAAGCCUGUCACCUAGCAUGUGCGUCACCUCAACACCAACCACAUAACACGUAGUUCAGGGAUUCAUACCCUCAAUACCAAGUUUAGAAGUGUUACUUACCUCAAACCGCAUAAAUCACAACUCCAAUAAGCCCUUGUCUCAUGAAUCGGCCUCCGAAUGACUCGAAUCUAGCCACAAAUAACUUAAUACAAUCAAUACAAGUUAUAGGAAUCGAUUCCAUAUGAUAAAGCUAAGUCCUUUAACCAAAGUCAAAAAGUCAACCCAAAAGGUCAUGCCCGGGAGGACGUCUCGGAACCCGAUAAAAUUUAUAAAAUCCGAACACCCAUUCAAUAACGAGUCCAACCAUAUUGAAUCAUCCAAUUCCGACCUCAAAUUGCCUUGCUAAUCCUCAAAAUAAAGCUUAUAAAGUUUCCACAAAUUUCCCCAAUUUAUUCAACCCAAAACACUAAUUAAAUGGUAACAAUAAUGAUAGAUUCAUGUAUAUUAAUCAAAUCCGAAUUAGAAUUACUUAACCCAAUCAACUCCUUGAAAAUCCCUUCAAGAAUCGCCCAAAACCGAGGUCUCUAGCUCAAAAGAUGAUAAAUGGGUCAAAACCCUCGAUUUUGAAAUAAUAUACUGCUGCCCAGAUGCCCUUCUUCACGAACGCGGAAGGUGCCUCGCGUUUGUGAAGCACAAAUUCGUCAGCUGCCAAAACUCCUCUUACGCAAAUGCGAUACCUCACUCGCGAACGCGAUGACCACUGAACCAACCCCUACGCGAAUACAACCCAUCUCCCGCGAACGCGAAGGCUUACAAGCCUGGUGUCCCACCUGCCUCAUCCUUCUACGCGAACGCGAGUCCCCACUCGUGAUCACGAAUCACAGACUCCCUAGACCUUCGUGAACCCGUGGACUUCUUCGCGAACGUGAAGAAUAAUCUUCACUAGUCUCCUAGAUACACUUUGCGAAUGUGAGACCUCUCUCGCGUAUAAGGAAACCAGACACCAGAAAUUCUGCAUCUCUACAAGGCUAAACUCCAUUCGCAAUCAAUCUGAAUCUCACCCGAGGUCCCCGGGACCCUAUCCAAACAUACCCACACAUCCUAAAAUAUCAUAUAAACUUAGUUGAACCCUCAAAUCACAUCAAACAACAUCUAAAAUCCAAAUCGCACCCCAAUUCAAUCCUAAUAAACUAUUGAACUUCCAACUUCAAAAAAUAAUGCUGAAACACAUCAAAUCAACUCUGAUUGACCUCAAAUUUUGCACACAAGUCAUAAAUAACACUACAAACCUAUUCUAACUUCCGGAACAAAAAUCUGAGCCCAAAAACAACAAAAUCAACUAUCGGUCAAACUUCUCAACUUUCCAACUUUUGUCAAUUCAAGCCAAAACGACCUACAUAACUCCAAAUAAAUAUCCAUACACACUCUUAAGUCCAAAAUCACCAUACAGAGCUAUCGGAACCAUAAAAACUUCAUUCCGGAGACAUUUACACAUAAGUCAACAGUAGGUCAAUUUUUUCAACUUAGGCUUCCAACCUUGGGACUAAGUAUCUUAAUUUAUUCUGAAACAUCCCCGAAACCAAACCAACCACCCCGGCAAAUCAUAUAACAACAAAUGAACAUAAAAUAAGAAAUAAAUGAGGGAACGGGGCUAUAAUAUAAAAAAUGACCGAUCGGGUCGUUACAUUCUCCCCUCUUAAAUAAACGUUCAUCCUCGAACGGGUCUAGAAUCAUACCUGAGGCCUCAAAUAGGUAUAGAUUGCUGCUUCACAUCUCCCGCUCAGUCUCCCAAGAAGCCUCCUCGACUGGUUGACCUCUCCAUUGUAAUUUCACUUAAACUAUAUUCUUUGGCCUCAACUUUCGAACCUGUCGAUCCAAAAUGGCCACUAAUUCCACAUCAUAAGUCAGAUCCCCAUCUAACUGAACCGUGAUGAAGUCCAAAACAUGAGAUGGAUCACUGUAAUACUUCUAGGGCAUGAAAACAUGAAACACUAGGUGAACACUCGAUAGAAUAGGUGGCAAUGUAAUCUUGCAAGCCAGUUCUCCAAUCCUCUCAAGCACCUCAAAGAGACAAUAUACCAAAGGCUCAACUUGCCCUUCUUACCGAACCUCAUAACACCCUUCAUGGGUAAAACUCUGAGCAAUACCUUCUCUCCCACCAUGUAGGCCACAUCAUGAACCUUCCCAUCGGCGUAACUCUUCUGUCUAGACUAUGUCGUGCGAAGCCGAUCCUGAAUCAACUUAACCUUUUCCAAAACAUCUUGAACCAAGUCCUUACCCAAUAGCCUAGCCUCACCCGGCUCAAACCAACUAACCAGAGAUCGACACCGCUUCCCAAACAAGUCCUCAUACGGAGCCAUCUGAAUACUCGAUUGGUAGUUGUUGUUGUACACAAACUCUACAAGCGGUAGAAACUAAUCCCAAGAACCUCAGAAAUCCAUGACACAAGCGUGUAGUAUAUCCUCCAAUAUUUGAAUGAUGCGCCUGGACUGUCUGUCCAUCUGAGGGUGGAAUGUUGUACUCAACUCAACAUGUCUGCCUAACUCUCGCUGCACUACUCUCUAGAACUGCGAUGUGAACUACGUGCCCCGAUCUGAAAUAAUGGACACCGACACACCAUGAAGGCGAACAAUCUUGCGGAUAUAGAUCUUAGCCAACCGCUCAGAAGAAUAGGUAGUACCAACUAGAAUGAAGUGCGCGGGCUUAGUCAACCCGUCCACAAUCACCCAAUUAACAUCAAAUUUCUUCAAAGUCUGUGGGAGCCCAACUAUGAAAUCCAUGGUGAUACGCUCCCACUUCCACUCGGGAAUCUCAAACCUCUAAAGCAAAUCGCCUGGCCUCUGAUGCUCGUACUUCACCUGCUAAUGGUUCAAGCAUCGAGCUACAAACUCCACUAUAUCCUUCUUUAUUCUUCUCCACCAAUAGUGUUGCCUCAAGUCCUAAUACAUCUUUACGGCACCUGGAUGAAUGGAAUACCGUGAACUGUGGGCCUCUUUAAGAAUCACCUCACAUAACCCAUCUACAUUGGGCACACAAAUCCGACCAUGAAUCUGCAAUACCCCAUUAUGUCCAAUUGAAAUCUCAUUGGCAUCACAGUGCUGAACGGUGUCCUUAAGGACAAGCAAAUGGGGGUCGUCAUACUGACACUCUCCGAUAUGAUCAUAUAAAGAAGAUCGAGAAACCACACAAGAUAGAACCCUAGGCUCCGAAACAUCUAACCUCAUGAACUGAUUGGCCAAGGCUUGAACAUCUGAUGCAAGCGGUCUCUCCCCAAUAGGAAUAUAUGUAAGGCUUCCUAUACUUGCCAUCUUUCUAUUUAAGGCAUCGGCCACCACAUUGGCCUUCCCGGGAUGAUACAAAAUGGUAAUAUCAUAGUCUUUUAACAGCUGCAGCCAUCUCUGCUGCCUCAAAUUUAAAUCCUUUUUCUUGAACAAAUGCUGUUGACUUCGAUGAUCUGUAAAUACCUCACAAAACACGUCGUAGAGAUAACGCCUCCAAAUCUUCAAUGCAUGAACGAUGGAUGCCAACUUUAAAUCAUGAUUGGGGUAGUUAUUCUCAUGAGGCUUCAACUGCAUAAGCAAUCAAUCUACCCUCCUGCAUCAAGACACACCCAAUACUAAUCUGAGAAGCAUCACAAUACACUGUAUAAGAACUUAAUGUUGAAGGCAAAACUAGAAUUGAAAUGUGGUCAAGGCAGUCUUGAGCUUCUGAAAGCUCUCCUCACACUCAUCAGACCACCUGAAUGGGGCACCCUUCUGGGUCAAACUGGUCAACUGUAAUGGACGAGAAACCCUCCACAAAGCGGCGAUAAUAUCUAGCCAAGCCAAGAAAAUUCUAAAUCUCAGCAGCUGAAGACGGUUUGGGCCAACUCUGAACUACCUCAAUCUUCUUUGGAUCCACCUCGAUCCCCUCACUAGACACCACAUGCCCCAAGAACACCACUGAACUUAGCCAAAACUCACACUUGGAGAACUUAGCAUAAAGUUUCUCAUCCCUCAACAUCUGUAGUACAAUCAUCAGAUGUUGUGCAUGCUCCUCCUGGCUACAUGAGUACACCAAGAUAUAAUCAAUAAAUACUAUGACAAAUGAAUCAAGAUAUGGCUUGAAUACACUAUUUAUCAGAUGCAUGAAUGUUGCUAGGGCAUUGGUCAGCCCAAAAGACAUCACAAGGAACUCGUAGUGACCAUAGCCCGUCCUGAAUAUCGUCUUCAGAAUAUCAGAGUCCUGAAUCUUCAACUGGUGAUACCUAAACCUCAAAUCAAUCUUAGAGAACACUCUAUCUCCCUGAAGAUGGUCAAAUAAGUCAUUAAUGCGCGACAACAAAUACUUGUUCUUAAUUGUAACUUUGUUCAACUGCCUAUAGUCAAUGAACAUCUGCAUAGUACCAUCGUUCUUCUUCACAACUAGAACCGGUGCACCCCAAGGAGAUACACUAGGCUUGAUGAACCCCUUAUCAAGAAGCUCUUGAAGUUGCUAUUUCAAUUCCUUCAACUUUGCUAGUGCCAUACAAUACGGAGUAAUAGAAAAGGGCUGAGUUCCCGGCACCAAGUCAAUAACAAAAUCAAUAUCCCUGUCAGGUGGCAUGCUCGGUAGGUCUGUAGGAAACAUAUCCCGAAAGUAUCACACUACCGUAACAGAAUCAAUGGUAGGACUAUUAGCACCAACAUCCUCACAAAGGCCAAAUACGCCAAACACCCCUUCCCAACCAUCGGUUGGGCCUUCAGAUAUGAAAUCACCCUACUGGGAACGUAGUCCGGAGAACCUCUCCACUCGGUCCUAGGUAACCCAGGCAUCGCCAACGUCACGAUCUUAAUGUGACAAUCUAGAAUAGCAUGACAUGGGGACAACCAGUCCAUGCCUAGAAUCACGUCAAAAUCAACCAUACUAAGCAAUAAGAGAUCAACUCUCAUCUCCAAUCCCCCAAUGGUCACCACACACGACCGAUACACACAGUCCACAAUAAUAGAAUCACCAACUGGCAUAGAUACAUGAACAAGAAAAACUAAGGACUCACGGGGCAUAUCCAAAUAACAAGCAAAUUACUAUGAUACAUAUGAAUAAGUAGAACCAGGGUCAAAUAAUAUAGAAGCAUCCUUGUGGAACAAUGAAACUAUACAUGUGAUCAUUGCGUCUAAAGCAACGACUUUUGGCUUGGCAGGGAAAGCAUAGAAUCAAGCCUGAUCGACCUCCCCCUCUAGGGCAACCUCUAGCUGCCUGAGCCACACCCUGAGCUAGUUGAGUGGGUGGUGAAGUAACUGGUGCAAAAGUCAUAGCCUGACCCCUCUACUAAACUAAAGCUCCCAAAAGACGGGGACAAUGCCUCUUUAUAUGACCAAACUCUCCAGACUCAAAGCAACCACAAUCCGACAAUGGCGGUUGGUACUGAAUCGGACCCCGAGAACCGGAAUAACUACUAGAAGGACCUGGUAUAGAUAAACCCUGAAUUGAUAGAGCACAAGAUGAACUCUAAGUUGGGAAGGCGCUGAGAGAUAACUGACCCAGGCAAGCAUUGUAUGAACCAUGGCUAGCUGAUGCACCACGAUGAACCGGACGAGCCAUCUGAGCGGGCCUAUAAGGGCGACCCCUGUUGUGGUGGGACUGUCCUCCAGAAAAGCAUCACUGAAACCACCCAAACCAUGAGGCCUACUCUCCCCAUUCUCUUGACUAUGAACCUGCUCUAACCUCCUAGCAAUAUCAACCACCACGUCGAACCUAGCACCUGAUGCAAUCUCCCAAUUCAUGACGAAGUGCAGUCCAUAGUUGAGGCCAUCAAUAAACCUCCUAAUCCUCUCUCUCUUUAGGAACCAAAAAGAUGAGCCAACUCUGAAAAUCUCAUCACAUACUUGGUCAUUGACAUACCCUCCUGGCGUAGCUGCUCAAACUUCCUACGCAACUCCUCCUUGCGGGUCUGUGGAACAAAACUUCUCUAAGAAGAGAACUGAGAACUCAUGCCAUGUAAGUGGUGUAGCACUGGUAUACCUGCUCAACUCAUAGGCCUCCCACCAUAUGAAGGCUUCCCCCGACAACCUAAAAGUAGUAAAUAAGACUCCACUAAUCUCUAGAAUACUUGUCGUGCGAAAGAUUUGCUGGCACUUGUCCAAGAAAUCUAGAGCAUUCUCUAACUAAACCCCACUGAAUGAUGGAGGCCUGAGCCUCCCAAACCUCUCUAGCUUCUUCUGCUCUUUGUCACUUAUACGUGAACCCACUUGAGCAUGAGCAACUACAACUGACAAGGUUGGUAGUACUCCCGGUGUCUGAAGUUCCUGAACCACCUGCUCUGGAGUAUGGGCGGCGGGAGUCUGAGCACCUCCCCCAUCCUGAGAAGUGGCUGGUGUGGCUGAACUGAAAUCGCCUGAGCAAGGCUAGUGCAUACAAUUAAUAUCUGGGCCAAAGCAUCCUAGAGGCUGGAAUCACAAUGGGCACAGUUGGUGCUUGAGUUGGUCUCGCGGGCUCAACCACAUCUGGUAUCUUCUCCUGUGCUGGAGUAAUUGGUGGAUCCACAAGUGCUGCUCUAGCUACUAUACGAGCUACACCUCGGCCUCUACCACGGCCCCAGCUUCUCGCUGCCCUAGCUGGUGGUACUGAUGUCCGUCCGCUCGAUCCGGUAGUACGUGUCCUCACCAUCUGUGAGACAAUUGAAUAAUAUAAGUUUAGUUUCUGGAGUCAACAAAUCCGCAUGACAAGAAUACAAUAAAGUGAAGUUUCCUAAUGGUUUGGUAGCCUCUCGAAGAUAAGUACAAAUGUCUCUGUACCGAUCCGCAAGACUCUACUAAACUUGCUCAUGACUCGUGAGACCUAUGUAACCUAGGCUCUAAUACCAACUUGUCAUGACCCGAAUCUCAAUAUGUCGUGAUGGCACCUAUCACAGUACUAGGCAAGCCGACAAUCACAAAUUAACUACCCAUUUUAAAUUAAAAACAUGAUGUAAUAAGUUUAACAUUGAAAUAUCUCAUAAACAACCGAUAAGAACAACUGCGACUCAACUACAAAAUCCCCUAAAAUCCGGGUGUCACCGAGUACAUGAGCUACUAAAUGUCAGCACAAUCAAAACUUCUAAUACAACUUCUGGAAAGAUAUAACAGUGCUAAAUAAACUGAAAAUAUGGAGAGUCGAGGUCUACGGACGCCAUAGCAGCUACCUCAAUAAUCUCCAAGCAGACACUGCUACAACUCUAGCAACCACUGGUCCAUAUAUACCUGGAUCUGCACACGAAGUGCAGAGUGUAGUAUGAGUACAACCGACCCAAUAUACUCAAUAAGAAACAGGAUUAACCUUGGGUUGAAAGCAGUGACGAGCUCAGGAAGGUACAGUCCAAAUCCAGAUAAUAACAGUACAAAUAUAACAGGGAAAAGACAGUAAUAACUCAAAGAAAUUCCAUAAUCAAUUCGUACAUAGUACAUAAAUUUAGACAUGCUUUUAAGUUUAACAGUUUAAGCUCAACACUGAUAAAAUAUAGCUAGUAUAACUGAUAUAAGGAAUGUUACACCUUUAUGUCUACAUGUCAAAUGUGCAUGUCACAUGUAAUGCAUCACAGUGAUAAACUAAAGUACUCACACUCUCAGAGUACUCAAUCUCACUGUUUUCCACUCCCACUCAUCACUCUCAAUCACUCAGCACUUUCAAUCACUCAGCAUUGUAUGGUACCUGGUCUUACUGCUAGUAUGUCAGACUCUAGAGGAGCGGAUCCUGCCCAAGCACUAAUAUAAGCCAACAUGGCAUGCUGUGGCAUGCAACUCGAUCCCAUAAUAAAUCAAUAAAACAUGUUGUGACAUGCAGCUUGAUCCCAUAAUGAAUAAAUAAACCCUGCAGAGGCGUGCAACCCGAUCCCAUAAUGAAUCAAUAAAACUUGUUGCGGUAUGUAGCAUGAUCCCAUAAAUAUCACUUACAAUCCUGCCCUCAGGCCCCAACUCAGUCAUCAAUCUCUCUAAUCUCUCGGGCUCACAAAUCUCAUGCCAAUUAUCCUAAACAUUGAUAACGUGAUGUAACAAUAAAUGAUAAGAGAUACUGAGAUAUGAUAUGCAAAUAAUAAAUGUGACUAAGUACGUAAUUGCAAUUUAAGAAAAUAACUAAACAACAAAAAUGCCUUAGUGGGUCCCGGCAUAAUAAGCAUAUAGCCUAAGCAUGAUUUCUAGCAUGGAUCACAACUCAAUUACUUUAACACGUAGGGAUUACAUGAAUAGAAACAAGAUUUGAUAACUACACAGAGUCACAGAAUCGACCGAUUCACAAUUACCACGGUGCACGCCCACACGCCUGUCACCUAGCAUGUGUGUCACCUCAACAUCAACCACAUAACACGUAGUUCAUGGAUUCAUACCCUCAGUACCAAGUUUAGAAGUGUUACUUACCUCAAACUGCGUAAAUCACAACUCCAACAAGCCCUUGCCUGGCGAAUUAGCCUCUGAACGACUCGAAUCUAGCCACAAACAACUUAAUACAAUCAAUAUAAGCUAUAGGAAUCGAUUCCAUAUGAUAAAGCUAAGUUUUUAAGCAAAGUCAAAAAGUCAACCCAAAACGUCAACCCUGAGCCACUUCUCGGAACCCAAAAAUUUUACAAACUGAACACUCAUUCAAUAAGGAGUCCAACCAUACCAAAAUUAUCCAAUUCCGUCCUCAAAUCGCCUUUCAAAUCCUCAAAAUAUAGCUUAUGAAAUUUUGAAUCAGUUCCCCAAUUUUUCCAACCCAAAACACUAAUUAAAUGGUAAAUAUAAUGAUAGAUUCAUGUAUAUUGAUCAAAUCCGAGUUAGAAUCACUUACCCCAAUCAACUCCUUGAAAAUCCCUUCAAGAAUCUCCCAAAACAUAGGUCUCUAGCUCUAACGAUGAAAAAUAGGUCAAAACCCUCGAUUUUGAAAUAAUAUACGGCUACCCGGAUGCCCUUCUUCGCGAACACGGAAGGUGCCUCGCGUUCACGAAGCACAAAAUCCUCAGCUGCAAAAACUUCCUCUUAUGCGAAUGCGAGACCUCACUCGCAAACAUGAUGACCACUGAACCAACCCCUACGCGAACGCGACCCAUCUCCCGCGAACGCGAGUCCCCACUCGCGAUCGCGAAGCACAGACUCCCUAGACCUUCGCGAACGCGUGGCCUUCUUUGUGAAUGCAAAGAAAAAUCUUCACCAGUGACCCAGAUACACUUCGCGAACGAGAGACCACUCUCACGAACGCAUACCAGACACCAUAAAUUAUGCAGCUCAACAAGGCCAAACACAAUCCGCAAUCAAUCUGAAUCUCAUCUGAGGCCUCCGGGAUCAUAUCCAAACAUACCCACACAUCCUAAAACAUCAUACAAACUUAGCCGAACCCUCAAAUCAUAUCAAACAAUAUUGAAAACCCAAAUCGCACCCCAAUUCAAGCCUAAUAAACUAUUAAACUUCCAACUUCUAAUACCAAUGCUGAAACACACCAAAUCAACUCCGAUUGACCUCAAAUUUUGUACACAAGACAUAAAUUACACAACGGACUUAUUCCAACUUCCAGAACCAAAAUAUGAGUGCGGCAAUAACAAAGUCAAAUCUCGGUCAAACUUCUCAAUUUUUCAAACCUUCAACUUUUCAACUUUUGUCAAUUCAAGCCAAAAUGACCUACAGACCUCCAAAUCAAUAUCCGGACACACUUCUAAGUUCAAAAUAACCAUACAAAGCUAUCGCAACCAUCAAAACUCCAUUUUUGAGUCAUUUACACAUAUGUCAACAUCUAGUCAAUUCUUUUAACUUAGACUUCAAACCUUGGGACUAAGUGUCCCAAUUCAUUCUAAAAUAUUCCUGUAACCAAACCAACCACCCCGACAAGUCACAUAACAACAAACAAACAUAAAAUAAGAAAUAAAUAGGGGAACGGGGCUACAAUACUCAAAACGACCGGCCAGGUCAUUACGUAAUUCUCCACGCGAUGGAAGUGACGAGAAAAAAAUUUAAAUCUCCACGCGAUGGGAGUAUUCAACGGGUUGUAGUACCAUUCCGAUGCGAUAUUGUAGCAUUGACAGGAAUCAAUAAUUCGAACCUCCACGUGAUGGGAGUAUUCAACGGGCUGUAGUACUAUUCCAAUGCAAUAUUGGAGCAUUAAUUGGAAUGAAAAUUCGAACCUCCAUGUGAUGGGACUAUUCGACGGGUUGUAGUAUUGUUCCGAUGCGAUAUUGGAGCAUUGACACGAAAGAAAAUUCGAAUCUUUACGCGAUGGGAGUAUUGACAGGUUGUGGUACCAUUCUGAUGUGAUAUCGGAGCAUUGACAGAAAUGUAAAUCUCCACGUGAUGGGAGUAUUUGACGGACUGUAAUACCUUUCCGAUACGAUAUCAGUGCAUUGACAAGAAUGGAAAUAUCUACACGAUGGGAGUGACAAGAAAGAAAAUUCGAAUCUCUGCGUGAUUGGAGUAUUCGACGGGAUGUAGUACUGUUCCAAUGCGAUAUCGGAGCAUUGACCGAAAAGGAAAUCCCCAUGUGAUGGGAGAGAUAAGAAUUAAAAAUCUCUACACGAUAGGAGUGGCUGAAAUGUAAAAUCUCCACGCGAUGGGAGAGACGGGAAGUGAAAAAUCUCCGCAUGAUGGGAGUAUUUUUUUGAUUUUUUGAAAGAUGAGAUCGAACUCGAGAAGGGUCCUUGAUUGAUUUUUUUUUAAAAUGUGAGAUCGAACCUGAAGGUUGCCUACGUAUCUCGUCGAACGAGAAUCAGGUCAAGCGCAAUUCAAGAAUAUUAGAGAUAAAGGGAUAAUAUUUUGGAUUUUGAUGUUGAUGUCUCACGAAGAGACUUCUGGAGAAGCAACAGAGGAAGAUAUAUAUGUGUGUGUGUGUGUGUAUUUAUUUUUUUAUAUUUUGGAAGUGAUCUUUCAUAAAGAUCUUCGAUCACCUGUGACCCAAGUGGCUAGACUUGACCGAUUCGUCUAUGUAUCUUGACAGGUUGCCUACGUAUCUUGACACAAGGUCAAGAAUCAAGUACGUGUAGUUCGUGAAGGUUGGAGAGUAUGAGAUGUAUGGUUUACAACACUUCUUUUACUCUCAUUUUCAAAGAAUUGCAACUAAGAUAUUAAUUGCAUCAAAGAUAUAUACUAAAUGCAAGAGUAUAGAAAAACUCGGAACGAUGCCUCAUUGUGUCCGUGGCUGGAUGUGGUAUCCUCUGAAGUUAAGGAGUGACUCCUUCCAGAAAUUGUGCCCCAGUUGCUCCUUCGAACAUUUGCUUUGAUCUCCCCUGACUGUUUGCGAGAUAGUUAUUAUGGUUAUAUUCCCGUUGACUCGGAUGUUUUGUUGUGACCUUCGAGCUGUCCACAUGAAGUUUUUUAGUGAUCGUCCCCGGCUAUUAACUAGGGCGGUAAUCUGAUCAAGAUAUAAAAAUAUUGUGAGGGUAGUGUGUUGGAACUAAGAAAUGAUUGUAUGACUAAUACUCCCCUAAUUGUUUGAUUGAUGUUCCACAAUGUCCAAUGCCGGAUGCUAUUUUCCUUGCAGUCUUAGGAUGAUGCAUCUUUUGGUUGUCCACAGGAACCAUUUGAUGAACGUCCCCGGUUGACAAUUGGGAAUGAUGUUCUGAUCUAAAUAUAGAAAAGUGGUGAGAGCAGCAAAGUCAUGAAAAAUGAUGGAGUUCAUUGUAAAACUACUACUCCCCUAAUUAUCUGACUGAUGCUCCAUAAUGUCCGAUGUCAGAUGUUAUUCCCGUGCAGUCCCAGGAUGAGGCACCUUUCAGCUGUCCACAUGAACCAUUUAUGACCGUUCCCGAUUGACAACCGGGAACGAUGUUCUAAUCUAAAUAUAGAAAGGUAAGAGCAGUGAAGUUAUGAAAAAUGGUGCAAUUCAUUGUAAAACUACUACUCCCAUGAUUAUCUGACUAAUGUUCCGCCAAGUCCAAGACCAUAUGUUAUCUCCCGUGAAGUGCCCGGGAUGAUGUACCUACAAAACUCAAAGGAGAAAAUGUUAGAGUCCCUCUUAGGUGAAGUUAUAAAAUUAAGGAUGCAGGGUUAGGCCGUACAUCCAGUGGUGUGUCCGGUUGUGAUCGGAACUGCGAUGUCGACAUUCCAUGAUAGUUCCGAAAAUUGUGUUAUCUCUCAUGUGUCCAAAAAAAAAUUAUUAGUUCGAGGGAGGGAAAUUGAUUCGUGUUGUCUUGAGGCUUCGCUUGUUCUUCUUUGUUUGUUUGAGCAUGACACUUCUCGAAGGCUGACAAACAACUUGCCCCUGCAACUAAAUUGGGUUGACUUUUAUCGAAUCUCUAAAUUUAGAAAAUUGGAGGUGAACACCAUGACUCCAUAGCCAAAUGUUCGAAAAAAGGACUUGCAUCCCAUACGUUGAAAUUUAAGUUAAGUGAGGGCCAGAGUAAAAUUGGCAAGGUAUUUUGAUGUUUGGAUUUUGGAUGAAGUUUGGUUGACACUCUCGGAGAUUUCUGGAUUGAGACAAUCAUUGCAUUAUUCCAAAAGAACUGCCCCAAUCUUCCGUACUGAGGAAAUUAUUUUGAAAUGGUAGGGAAACCGAACCCUUUUUAGGGUUGCCUGUGUAUCCUGUUAAGGCAAGAAUCAGGUCAAAAUAUAGUUCGGGCCAACUACUAAAACUAUGAGAUCUGUAUGAUUAUCUUGAAUGAGUGAUUGUUCUUUGAGAAGUGUGAUUAUGAAUGAGGAUUCCUUGGUGGGUGGGUGGAGACUGGUAGAUCUUGAAUAAGAGAUAAAUGGUAGCAUAGUGCAUGGAUAUGUCUCAAAUGACGAAAGUCAGUGAGAAUGUAAAGUUUGAUUGAGAAGAAUACAUCAAAUUAGUGGAAGAUGUACAAAGUUGGAUUGGUGUAUCUUUGAGAAGGAUGGUAGAGUCCAAGUGAUGGUGUGAUUAUGGAGAUGGUCAUGAAGACCAGAAUGGGCAUGUGUAUUUGAAAAUUUCAAGGUUCAACACAAGUCAACCAGAGUUUAGUCAGACAAAGAGUACCUAAUAGUUGAUAACAAAUAGAAGGUACAUGUAAAAAAUGAAGAAUACAUAACAACAACAGAUAGAAUAUAUAACAGACGUACAAAGAAUAUGUAGCAAGUAAAGGAUAUGCAAGGACUAAUUCAUCUAAAUCACGCUACAAGAUUGUGUGUACAAUGAACUAGGAAUUCUAAGAGUAGAUUUGCCUAGAUUCGAGCAUGAGUUGAGUACAACUACGAGAUGGUACGUAGUUAACCUCGUAUGCCAAUCUCUGAAACUAGGGAGUUUUGAAAAAAGGUUCGGAGGGUGAAAAGACAACCCUCGCGUGACUUGUGUGUGAUUGUGUACGACGAAGAGUUGAUAGAAAAGUGAUGACAAAUUGAGAAGGAAGCACCAAAAGCAUGUGACAAAGAAUAUACAACAUAGUCAUAUGUAACAAAAUAUACAACAUAGACAUAUGGGAAGCAUAUACAAUAUGAGCAUGAUAGAGAAUAUGCCGCUUGAAGCGGAUGACAAAGAAUAUGCUACUUGAAGCGCAUAACAAGAAUAUACCGCUUGAAGCACAUAACAAGAAUAAACCGCUUGAAGCAUAUGACAAAGAAUAGACUACUUGAAGCAUGCGACGAAGAAUAUACAACUUGAGCCAAAGAAUAUACAAUCUAAAGCAAGGAAUAUACAGCUUGAAGCAAGGAGUGUACAACUUGAAGGAGAGAAUGUACGACUUGAAGCAUGAGACAGAUAGGAUGAAAGUUGGGGUAUUGGAGAACCUGUAAUCCCUCUAGUAAUUAACCAAGUCCAUUGUGGUUAGUACCUGAAGUAUCCCCAGUAGAUUCGCCAUGUUGUUGCAUCUUAUUUUGCAUAAGUCAAAACAAUGUGCAAUUUAUAGUACUCUACAAGCUUAAUUAAAGUUUAGAGUCACCACCUAGUAUUUAAGGUAUACUAGGACACCUAUACUACACUACACAAUGUACACAAAAUUAUGGUCUGCGAAACUUAUUGAGAUUCCAAGUAAGGGUUCAAGUUAUCUCAAGGGAAAUAUGCCAGGCACCCCUCGAGAUCCACAAAAUGUGGUUCCGGUAGACUUAAUCAAAUAAUAGAGGGAAGGUUCAAAGAUAACUAACAAAUACUCACAACUAUUACAAAGAAUAAAAGAAUGAUAAAUGAGUACUAGAAUGAAUAGUAAUGAUAUUAAAUAUAUAAUGAAUUAUGUACGGAUGAAGUAUGCAAGUAUUUUUUUAUGUUUUGGAAAUGAAAUGAUUAAAAUAUAUUAUAUCGUAUGAAAUAUAUGUAAAGUGGACAAGGGAAUCGUAUUCCAAAAGAUAAUUUAAGUGUAAAGUGUGUUCUAGUUAAGAAUUGCAAAAUAUUUGACAAAAUAUAUGUGCAACAAAGUGUAGUAUGUGAAAAUAUUUAGAAGAUACUAAAUAAUGGUAUUUUAGUAUAAAUUGAAUAAUAUAAAAAUAAUUGUACCUAAAGAAUGCAUGUUAACUCAAAGUGUUUGAACAAACUCUUGAACUUACAAGAAUAAACUUGAAGAGAGACGACUCAUAAUUAGAGUUUGAAAGUUUAGAUGGAUGACUACAAAAGAAGAAACUUAUACUAAAGGAUUGAGAAAAGGGGAAAGAAUAUUUAUUUGCACAUUAGUAGAUAUUUAAUGUCACGACCCAAAAUCCACUAUAGGCCGUGAUGGCGCCCAAUGUUGUCAUUAGGCAAGCCAUUGGUUAACUACCCACUUAAUUAUUCAUUUUAUUAUUUGGAAAUCAUGAACCUCGUUAAAUAAAUAGGAUAAAAUAUGCCACUCAUAGAAACCUGUGCUUUUCUUUACCAAAUUCCGAAUAUAAUAAAUCAUGAAGUGAAAUGAUAAUAAUAAUGAACAUACACUAGGAACCGCCAAAAUCCGGUGUAAUAAGUUCAUGAGCAUCUACUAAAAAGUACAAUAAUAAUACAACAUCUAUUUGGAAAACAAGAUAGACACGAUAAAGCAAAUAAUUAUGAUGGAGACUUUGUGUGCUGUGAAUCGUAGCAUGGAAUGUAGCUCACCAUAAAUUCCCCUCUGUAGUUGCACCUACGCGCCCAAAUGACUACCAAAUGAACCUGUCAGAUCCUACACAUUUAGUGCAGAAGUGCAGCAUGAGUACAUAAAUCAACGUGUACCCAGUAAGUAUCUAGCCUAACCCCGAAGAGAUACUCACGAGGGAUCGACAUUGACACUUACUAGUGGUCUGGUAAAUCAAAUAUAAUAAAGUAGACAAGUAUGAAACUUAGUAAGUAAACAACGAGUACAGAUAUAGGCAAAUAAUAUGAUUUAUAGCUGAACAAUGAACACAAAGUCCUCAAUUAUCGGAUACCUCCUCAAAUGGAAUACACAAUGGUCAAUACCAAAUCAACGGUCACAUCUCAAGUCAGGAAAACUCAUGAGUACGCAGACCCCUUAUCAAGUAUUUUGCACGAUUAUGCCAAGACGAGCGACCCGAUCCCAUAAGAGUGUUUCAUAGAACUGCCUAGGCGAACAGCCUGAUCCCAUAAGAGUGUUUCAUAGAACUGUCGAGGCGAAUGGCCCGAUCCCAUAAGAGUGUUUCAUAGAACUAACGAAGCAAACGGCCUGAUCCCAUAAGAGUGUUUCAUAGAACUGUCAAGGCGAACGGUCCGAUCCCAUAAUAAUAUGAUACAUGAUACUGCCGAGGCGAAGGCCCGAUCCCAUAAGAGUGUGUUACAAUGUCCUACCAAGGAAAACGGCUCGAUCUUAUAAGAGUGUGUUACAUAAUCCUGCCGAGACGAAUGGCCCGAUCCCAUAAGAGUGUGUUACAAUGUCCUGCCAAGGCGAACGGUCAAAGAAUGUGUUACAUAAUCAUGCCGAAGAGAACGGCCCAAUCCCAUAAGAGUGUGAAGCUUUUAUGGGUCUACGACCCAUUCACGAAUUUACAUGUGAGUUAUGGAAUUCAAGAGAAACUUUCCGAUGAAUACGCACAUCGCGAGAGUAAUCCGUAAGAGAAAUACAAUUUCUAUGACUAAUCAAGUAGCUCAUCAAAUAUAUAAAAUAGCAAGUCCAUUACUCUACGUGAAUCUAGUCUCAGGUCAUAAUGCGAAUUGAAGUAAUUUAACAGGCAAGGAUAACUCAAAUAGUACAAUUAAAGCAUGGCGUGAGUCUAAGUCUACCCAGACAUAAUUAGGAAUUCUAGCGUACGUACAGACACUCGUCACCUCAUACGUGCGCACCUCCCACAAUGUGUAGCACAUAAUAAAUUUAACACUUGCGGGGUAAAUUUUCCCUCACAAGGUUAGACAGGAGACUUACCUCGCUCUGAAGUUCCAUAACUGACUCCAACGCCUCUAGCACCUCAACCAAUGACCAUCGAUCCGAAACUAGUCAAACAACAUGAAAACUAAUAAAAAUAUACUCUAAUACUCAUAAUUAACCAGUUUAUAACAAUUUCCAACUCCACUCGAAAAGUCAACAAAGUCAACCCUCGGGCCCAUGUGCUUGGAAUCUAACAAAAUCCGAACACUCAUUGAAUAACAAGUCCAACCACACCAAAAUUACCCAAUUUCGACGUCAAAUUGCCAUUCAAAUCCCCAAAGCUUACUCUCUAAUCCCUAUCCCAAAAUUCCCCAAAUUCCACCUUAAAAACACAUAAUUUAGGUGGAUAAUUCAAUGGGUAUUCAAUACUAAUAGAUAAAAACGACCAAAAGUUGCUUACCUCUUGAAAUCUAGCAAACCCGUCUCAAACAUUGCCUCCAACCGAGCUUGCAAAGUUCAAAAAUGAAGAAAUCUCGAAACCCUUCGAAUUAAUACACUGCCCAGGCCUUUCGCACAUGCGGUUCACUUGACCGUUUCCGCGUCCUCAUAGGUGCGGCCAAAUCUCCGCUUCUGUGGUAUCCCCUAAAGACCCCUGCCUUUGCUUCUUUGGAGAAGACUCCGCUUCUGUGGCGUUUCACCUGCGAUAAAAUCUCUGCACAUGCGGAGCUCACUUAAGACCAUACACUUCCAUAUGCGCCCUCAAGUCUGCAUCUACGGAAGCGCUUCUGCGAAGCCAACCACGCCUACCCAACUCCGCAUCUGUAGAGCCCCAUCGCAUCUGCGGGAUCGCAAAUGCGGAAAACCGUCCUCGCACCUGCGCCCUCUGCCCAACUCCUUCAAGAUCGCACCUGCGACCCUUGGCUCGCUUCUAUGGUCUCUCACCUACGACCAAAUUCGUCACAGAUGCGAUUGCACCGGACCUGGUGCACUUCAGCAAUUACACAAGUUCAAUUCUCAAUCCAUUAACCAUCCAAAAUCCAUCUGAGGCCCCGGGACCUCAACCAAACCUACCAACAAGUCCUAAAAUAUGAUACGGAUUUAGUCGAAGCCUCAAAUCACGUUAAACAACAUCAAAGUUGUGAAUCGACGGCCAAAACCUUUCUUUCAACUUUCCAACUUUCAAACUUCGUCGAAAACGUCCGAUUUACACUUAACAUCCCGGAAUGAUGCCAAACUUUACUUGCAAGUCAAAAAUCACGAUACGAACCUAUUCCAACGCUCGGAACUCCAAACAAACAUUGAUAGUCCACUUCAAAUCAAACUUAAGAAAUUCUUAAACUUUCAAAAUGCCAACUUUCCACAAUAAUGGUCAAAAUGCUCCCGGGCGAUCUGAUACUCAACCCGACCAUACGCUCAAGUUUGAAAUAAUCAUACGAUCCUAUCGGAAUCUUCAAAUCCUGAUUUCGAGGGCAUUUACUCAAAAGUCAAACCUUGGUCAACUCUUCCAUCUUAAAGCUUCCAAAUUGAGAAUUUUUCAUCUGAAUCAACUAUGAAAUUCUCGAAAUUCAAUUCCGACUACAUGUACAAGUCAUAAAAUAUGAAGUGAAGCUACUCAAGGCAUCAAACCGCCGAACGACAUUCUAAAACUCUAAACGACCGGUCGGAUCAUUACAUUUAAUAAGUAAUUUAACCAAAGAGUGUUGAAAGAAUUACUUCGAUGAGUAAAAAAUGAAUAUUGUAUGGUAAAUGUAUCACAUCUAAAUAAAAACUUUUAUAUAGAAAAGGAAUUGUAAUAAAAUAAACAAUUGAAUACCAAAUCAUUCGGGUCAAGCCCAGAUGAGCACGAAGUCUAAAUGUUAAAAAUAUGACAAUCCAACUAUAUUUUACAAGCAUGCCUACUCGUAGUAAAAUAAUCAAGGAUUGCUUAUAAAUAGAUUACUUUGAGAUGCAUGCUAGUAUAACUGUGAAGGAUGACAUAUCUAUUUAUUAUCACAAAAGAUGACAUAUCUUUUAUUUUAUGUGUAUGUCUAAUUUAACUAGUAGGAUGUAUAUCAAUCCUAAACUAAUUAAUCAUAUUAUGAAUAUAUUCAAAAAACCAAACAUAUAUGCACAACUCAUAAAUCACUUAACAUACAAUAUUAUGAGCUAACCCGAUUAUUAACUAGAUACAAUUCCCUAAGUGUUUAGCAAAUGGAUAACGUUAAAGCAAACAAGUAAAUUUGAUAUAUGUCUACUACUUUACUAAGUUUUACAUUACGAGUACAACCGAGAACGGGAAGUACGAAGUGAGAAAUUUGACAAGGUUCGUCUUCGUCUCCGAGCGUCAUCUUUCCAAACGUUUAAAAGAACCUCGCAAUCUAAGAGAAAUAAAAUUGUUAGCGAAAUAAUGUAGCUUAAAAGAUAAACGAAUAAAGUGACAUAUUUUUUAAAUGGUUUUUGUUUUAAAAUAUUUUUGGAAAAUUGUUGUUGAAAAUAUUUUUGCUUUUGAAAGAUUGUUUGAAAAAAUGUUUCUGGAAAAGGUUUUUGAAAAAUAGUUUUAAAAUAUUAUAGGAGGCUAGGAUUAUGAUUUUAAUUUCCAUCUAGAUAUGAGAACGGGAACGCCUUGGGUGUGACUACGGUAGCUAAUCGUGCCGCCUUCCGAAGGGCUAUUGGUUCGUCAUGUUCUCGUCCUUUUCCUUUUCAAUGUGUAUCGCAUCACCUCGUUAUUAUAGGGCUCAAUCUGAAGGGUCAUACGGGGCGUUGUGGCCUCAAAAGAUUAUUCUCAUUGGCCUUCUCUAUAGCACCGUCAACAGUCAACGUCAUUUAACUGGAGUAAUAUCGGUUCUGAAAAACUACAAAAUUUGCGUCAAUAAUAUCUGGCAAAAACCAGAGUCAUUAGGAUAGACCAAAACGACAAAGGUCACAAUCACACUAUGAAAAGAUCAUCAACAGAAAGGGGCGACAAUAGCCUUUCAAUAGGAGUAAGAAAAUUUAAACCAACAUAUGUACAGGAAAAAUGAGGCAGCCAUGGACCAUAAAGUUCUAUAGUAAACAUAAACGCAGCGAUUCCAGAGAAUGUGUUCUCCUGCCAACUCUGGCGAGAAGUCUUCUCUCACUCAUUUUAUUGUUAUUUCUUAUUUGUACUAAAUUAGAAUCUGUAAAGAAAAAUGAAGCGUGAGAAGAAAAUACAAUAUGAAAUGGGGCUGUCGGAGAAAUACAUAGGCCGCCGAAAAAUUAUAAGGUCACCGGAGUAAUACACAUGUUUCUAGAAAAUUUAAUUUUCGUCUAGAAUCUGCCAAAAACCAAUCAUAAAAACGAACCCAUUUUUAUCCCAUCUUAUAUACAUAGCAUAUAAAUAAACAAAUAAAAAGAUCAGGGACGGAAAGGGAAAGCAGAGAUGAGAGACAGGUCGCCGAAAACACAUAGGUCUGGCCAGAACACCAUUUUUCUUAGAACUGGUUUUAUACGAACAAUAUAUGAAUAAACAAACAGAAACGAAGGCGAAGAGAAGGUCCGCAGGAGUUCGUUCUCCUCCGGCCAGAUCUUGUCAGAUCUGAAAUGCGUCAAUGAGCAAAUAGGUCUACUAGUUCAUCGGGUUUUGGCGAGCUUCGUCAAUCGAAACAUAACGGAGAAAUGGGUGAGGGUGAGGUAGCGACAGGAUAGCGAUAGCGUUCGCUGGUCAUCGCCGGUGAUCAAAUCCGGAGGGUGGCGAUGGAGGGAGACAGGAGGAAGAUGGAGCAAGGUUGGCGGUUGUUCUCUCUUUAGAAUGAGAGAAUAAAAAAGUUCUCUUAGGGUUUUGGAUAUAAAAAUAUGAUGGGAGUCAAUUGUGUGUGUGUGUGUUGUGUAGUGUAUUGUAGGUAAAAAUAUAAAAUGUGGGGUGUGGGGUAGAAAACUUAG